AGCGGAGGAAAAGAAACCAACAGGGAUUACCUCAGUAACGGCGAGUGAAGCGGUAACAGCUCAAAUUUGAAAUCUGGCUCUUGGGCCCGAGUUGUAAUUUGUAGAAGAUGCUUUGGGUGUGGCUCCGGUCUAAGUUCCUUGGAACAGGACGUCAUAGAGGGUGAGAAUCCCGUACGUGACUGGUCGCCUUCGCCCGUGUAAAGCUCUUUCGACGAGUCGAGUUGUUUGGGAAUGCAGCUCAAAAUGGGUGGUAUAUUUCAUCUAAAGCUAAAUAUUGGCCAGAGACCGAUAGCGCACAAGUAGAGUGAUCGAAAGAUGAAAAGCACUUUGGAAAGAGAGUUAAACAGUACGUGAAAUUGUUGAAAGGGAAGCGCUUGCAACCAGACUUGCAGGCUGUUGAUCAUCCGGGGUUCUCCCCGGUGCACUCGGCAGCUUUCAGGCCAGCAUCGGUUUGGGUGGUGGGAUAAAGGCCUUGGGAAUGUGGCUCUCUUCGGGGAGUGUUAUAGCCCAAGGUGCAAUGCCGCCUACCUGGACCGAGGACCGCGCUUCGGCUAGGAUGCUGGCGUAAUGGUUGUAAGCGACCCGUCUUGA
rnacentral:rRNA from 1 species